rnacentral:rRNA from 1 species
UGGGGAAUAUUGGACAAUGGGCGCAAGCCUGAUCCAGCCAUACCGCGUGGGUGAAGAAGGCCUUCGGGUUGUAAAGCCCUUUUGUUGGGAAAGAAAUCCAGCCGGCUAAUACCUGGUUGGGAUGACGGUACCCAAAGAAUAAGCACCGGCUAACUUCGUGCCAGCAGCCGCGGUAAUACGAAGGGUGCAAGCGUUACUCGGAAUUACUGGGCGUAAAGCGUGCGUAGGUGGUCGUUUAAGUCCGUUGUGAAAGCCCUGGGCUCAACCUGGGAACUGCAGUGGAUACUGGGCGACUAGAAUGUGGUAGAGGGUAGCGGAAUUCCUGGUGUAGCAGUGAAAUGCGUAGAGAUCAGGAGGAACAUCCAUGGCGAAGGCAGCUACCUGGACCAACAUUGACACUGAGGCACGAAAGCGUGGGGAGCAAACAGG